CACGUAGGGUGCGAGCGUUACCCGGAAUUAUUGGGCGUAAAGAGCUCGUAGGCGGUUUGUCGCGUCUGCUGUGAAAACCCGAGGCUCAACCUCGGGCCUGCAGUGGGUACGGGCAGACUAGAGUGCGGUAGGGGAGAUUGGAAUUCCUGGUGUAGCGGUGGAAUGCGCAGAUAUCAGGAGGAACACCGGGUGGCGAAGGCGGGUCUCUGGGCCGAUACUGACGCUGGAGGAGCGAAAGCGUGGGGAGCGAACAGG
rnacentral:rRNA from 1 species